rnacentral:rRNA from 1 species
AGCGUACACGGUGGAUGCCCUGGCAGUCAGAGGCGAUGAAGGACGUGCUAAUCUGCGAAAAGCGUCGGUAAGGUGAUAUGAACCGUUAUAGCCGGCGAUGUCCGAAUGGGGAAACCCAGUGUGAUUCGUCACACUAUCGUUAACUGAAUACAUAGGUUAACGAGGCGAACCGGGGGAACUGAAACAUCUAAGUACCCCGAGGAAAAGAAAUCAACCGAGAUUCCCCCAGUAGCGGCGAGCGAACGGGGAGCAGCCCAGAGUCUGAAUCAGCUUGUGUGUUAGUGGAACGGUCUGGAAAGUCCGACGGUACAGGGUGAUAGUCCCGUACACCAAAAUGCACAGGUUGUGAACUCGAAGAGUAGGGCGGGACACGUGGUAUCCUGUCUGAAUAUGGGGGGACCAUCCUCCAAGGCUAAAUACUCCUGACUGACCGAUAGUGAACCAGUACCGUGAGGGAAAGGCGAAAAGAACCCCGGCGAGGGGAGUGAAAAAGAACCUGAAACCGUGUACGUACAAGCAGUGGGAGCACCUUUAUGGUGUGACUGCGUACCUUUUGUAUAAUGGGUCAGCGACUUAUAUUCUGUAGCAAGGUUAACCGUAUAGGGGAGCCGCAGGGAAACCGAGUCUUAACUGGGCGUUAAGUUGCAGGGUAUAGACCCGAAACCCGGUGAUCUAGCCAUGGGCAGGUUGAAGGUUGGGUAACACUAACUGGAGGACCGAACCGACUAAUGUUGAAAAAUUAGCGGAUGACUUGUGGCUGGGGGUGAAAGGCCAAUCAAACCGGGAGAUAGCUGGUUCUCCCCGAAAGCUAUUUAGGUAGCGCCUCGUGAAUUCAUCUUCGGGGGUAGAGCACUGUUUCGGCUAGGGGGUCAUCCCGACUUACCAACCCGAUGCAAACUACGAAUACCGAAGAAUGUUAUCACGGGAGACACACGGCGGGUGCUAACGUCCGUCGUGAAGAGGGAAACAACCCAGACCGCCAGCUAAGGUCCCAAAGUCACAGUUAAGUGGGAAACGAUGUGGGAAGGCACAGACAGCCAGGAUGUUGGCUUAGAAGCAGCCAUCAUUUAAAGAAAGCGUAAUAGCUCACUGGUCGAGUCGGCCUGCGCGGAAGAUGUAACGGGGCUAAACUGUGCACCGAAGCUGCGGCAGCGACACUAUGUGUUGUUGGGUAGGGGAGCGUUCUGUAAGCCUGCGAAGGUGGCCUGUGAGGGUUGCUGGAGGUAUCAGAAGUGCGAAUGCUGACAUAAGUAACGAUAAUGCGGGUGAAAAGCCCGCACGCCGGAAGACCAAGGGUUCCUGUCCAACGUUAAUCGGGGCAGGGUGAGUCGACCCCUAAGGCGAGGCCGAAAGGCGUAGUCGAUGGGAAACAGGUUAAUAUUCCUGUACUUGGUGUUACUGCGAAGGGGGGACGGAGAAGGCUAUGUUAGCCGGGCGACGGUUGUCCCGGUUUAAGCAUGUAGGCGGAGGUUCCAGGUAAAUCCGGUACCUUUUUAACGCUGAGGUGUGAUGACGAGGCACUACGGUGCUGAAGUAACAAAUGCCCUGCUUCCAGGAAAAGCCUCUAAGCAUCAGGUAACAUCAAAUCGUACCCCAAACCGACACAGGUGGUCAGGUAGAGAAUACCAAGGCGCUUGAGAGAACUCGGGUGAAGGAACUAGGCAAAAUGGUGCCGUAACUUCGGGAGAAGGCACGCUGAUAUGUAGGUGAAGCCCCUGCGGGUGGAGCUGAAAUCAGUCGAAGAUACCAGCUGGCUGCAACUGUUUAUUAAAAACACAGCACUGUGCAAACACGAAAGUGGACGUAUACGGUGUGACGCCUGCCCGGUGCCGGAAGGUUAAUUGAUGGGGUUAUCCGUAAGGAGAAGCUCUUGAUCGAAGCCCCGGUAAACGGCGGCCGUAACUAUAACGGUCCUAAGGUAGCGAAAUUCCUUGUCGGGUAAGUUCCGACCUGCACGAAUGGCGUAAUGAUGGCCAGGCUGUCUCCACCCGAGACUCAGUGAAAUUGAACUCGCUGUGAAGAUGCAGUGUACCCGCGGCAAGACGGAAAGACCCCGUGAACCUUUACUAUAGCUUGACACUGAACAUUGAGCCUUGAUGUGUAGGAUAGGUGGGAGGCUUUGAAGCGUGGACGCCAGUCUGCGUGGAGCCAACCUUGAAAUACCACCCUUUAAUGUUUGAUGUUCUAACGUUGGCCCCUUAUCGGGGUUGCGGACAGUGUCUGGUGGGUAGUUUGACUGGGGCGGUCUCCUCCCAAAGAGUAACGGAGGAGCACGAAGGUUAGCUAAUCCUGGUCGGACAUCAGGAGGUUAGUGCAAUGGCAUAAGCUAGCUUGACUGCGAGCGUGACGGCGCGAGCAGGUGCGAAAGCAGGUCAUAGUGAUCCGGUGGUUCUGAAUGGAAGGGCCAUCGCUCAACGGAUAAAAGGUACUCCGGGGAUAACAGGCUGAUACCGCCCAAGAGUUCAUAUCGACGGCGGUGUUUGGCACCUCGAUGUCGGCUCAUCACAUCCUGGGGCUGAAGUAGGUCCCAAGGGUAUGGCUGUUCGCCAUUUAAAGUGGUACGCGAGCUGGGUUUAGAACGUCGUGAGACAGUUCGGUCCCUAUCUGCCGUGGGCGCUGGAGAAUUGAGGGGGGCUGCUCCUAGUACGAGAGGACCGGAGUGGACGCAUCACUGGUGUUCGGGUUGUCAUGCCAAUGGCAUUGCCCGGUAGCUAAAUGCGGAAGAGAUAAGUGCUGAAAGCAUCUAAGCACGAAACUUGCCCCGAGAUGAGUUCU